GGGGCUGACUUGGAUUUCGACAGAUUUCUUGUCGCACAGAUGGCAUGCCAAGCGCUACUUGUAAAACAGCAACAAAAAUAACUGUAAACAACACAGAUUACGCUCCAGCUUACGCUAAAGCUGCGUGAGUUAAUCUCCUUUUGGAGCUGGACUGAUUAGAAUUUCUAGCGUUUUAAUCACUCCAUAACCUUAAGCUAGACGCUUUUAAAAGGUGGUUCGCCUUUUAAACUAAGAAACAAGAACUCUUGAAACUACCUCAAGGUUUUAGAAAGUUGGACCAGAGCUAGUUUUAAGGCUAAAAAACCAACCAAUUUUCUAAGCAUUGUAGAAGUUUGUGUUUAGGGCAAGAUUUUUGGACUGGGGUUCGAUUCCCCACAGCUCCACCA
rnacentral:tmRNA from 1 species